rnacentral:rRNA from 1 species
UACAUGGGGUGCAAACGUUGCUCGGAAUUAUUGGACGUAAAGCGCGCGUAGACGGUUAUCUAAGUCGGAUGUGAAAGCCCUCGGCUUAACUGAGGAAGUGCACCCGAAACUGGAUAGCUAGAGUACGAAAGAGGAUCGCGGAAUUCCCGGUGUAGAGGUGAAAUUCGUAGAUAUCGGGAGGAACACCGAUGACGAAGACGGCGACCUGGGUCGAGACUGACGCUGAGGCGCGAAAGCGUGGGGAGCAAACAGG